AACGGGAACGGAGGAGGGAGGCGGCGGGUUGGGGAAGCUGAUGGCGGAGCCGAUGGAGCCGGCGGCGCAGCACACAACGCCGUGCGGGACGGCGAGCUGGGCCUGCGGGUCAAUGGAGAAGUGUCCUGGGUGAGGAUCAGCAACAACAAAGAAGUCGGAGGGACGGGCAGCUGUCUGUUCAGCCGAUCAGAAGGUGACUUAGGAAGAACGGGAAGAGCCGCUGCCUUGGGGAUGAGAAGGGAGGAAGGCAUCCACUUCGCCAGCAACCUGCACUCCUGGGACUGGACGUGCGUGCCCGCCUGUGGCGAGGGCUACUACCCCGAGGCGAUGCCCGGCCGGCCCCAGAGUCUGCCAGAGGUACGUGCCGCCCGACCGUCCCUCGAACUACACCCGCCGGCCUCAUCCCUCCGGCGCACCCCAAUGGGAACCCCGGGCCCUGCCUGGGAACCCCCAUGUUUACCGACUCUUCAGACCAAAUCGGAGCAUCAAGCAUGUGGCCUCCCCGUCACUUUUCGCUGGGCUUCAAGCACCUCCAAGGUCAACCUCAGCCGCACUGGGGCCUGCUGGCGGGAAGGGCCGUCCACAUGCGUGAGGACGGGCCCAGCCGCCCGUGUCCGUCCACCCGGACUGUGCGCCAGCCGGCCCGCAGGACUUCCUGCUGCCAAACCAGUGUUGGGCGUGUGGAUCAGCUGCCUGCUCCAGUUCUCACCAAGGGGGUCCUGUGUACAGAGCCCUGAUAUUUCCCUGGAAAUGCACCGAUCGGCUCUCGGGACUUAGAGUAACCUUUGCUUUAAACUUCCUCUUGAGCUUGUACGUGUCCGUUGUUUCCGGCUCCCCCCUCGGACCAUCAUGCAUCUGACAUGUCUCGGGGAGCAGGGGGAGCCCCCCACAGGAGUGAAUGGAAUUCAUGAAACAUAGGGAAACGCCCUCAGAGCAAAUGCAGUGUUAACCCUAAGUUAAUAAAAGAGUUAACAGCCCA